rnacentral:rRNA from 1 species
AUUGAACGCUGGCGGCAGGCCUAACACAUGCAAGUCGAGCGGAGCGGCGGACGGGUGAGUACUGCCUAGGAAGCUGCCUGGUCGUGGGGGAUAACGUCCGGGAAGGGGCGCUAAUACCGCAUACUAGCAGAUGUGCCUAGGUCGGGUUAGCUAGUUGGUGGGGUAAAGGCCUAGCAAGGCGACGAUCCGUAACUGGUCUGAGAGGAUGAGCAGUCACACUGGAACGAUGACACGGUCCAGACUCCUACGGGAGGCAGCAGGGGGGAAUAUUGGACAAUGGGCGAAAGCCUGAUCCAGCCAUGCCGCGUGUGUGAAGAAGGUCUUCGGAUUGUAAAGCACUUUAAGUUGGGAGGCGUUACCAACAGAAUAAGCACCGGCUAACUUCGUGCCAGCAGCCGCGGUAAUAC